rnacentral:rRNA from 1 species
AAUCCAUAGGUUAAUGAGGCGAACCGGGGGAACUGAAACAUCUAAGUACCCCGAGGAAAAGAAAUCAACCGAGAUUCCCCCAGUAGCGGCGAGCGAACGGGGAGGAGCCCAGAGCCUGAAUCAGCAUGUGUGUUAGUGGAAGCGUCUGGAAAGGCGCGCGAUACAGGGUGACAGCCCCGUACACAAAAGCGCAUGUGCUGUGAGCUCGAUGAGUAGGGCGGGACACGUGGUAUCCUGUCUGAAUAUGGGGGGACCAUCCUCCAAGGCUAAAUACUCCUGACUGACCGAUAGUGAACCAGUACCGUGAGGGAAAGGCGAAAAGAACCCCGGCGAGGGGAGUGAAAAAGAACCUGAAACCGUGUACGUACAAGCAGUGGGAGCCCCACCACCAAAGCAUUUGCUGUACCGCGUUGACGGAGCGAAGCGACGUCAAACCGAUAAAACAGCAGUGUAAAGUGAGCCGCAGGGCGCUUUGCGCGACAGCGCAAAGGCAGGCGGUUUCGCGUAGCGAAAGCGAAUGCUUUGGGGUGGGGUGACUACGUACCUUUUGUAUAAUGGGUCAGCGACUUAUAUUCUGUAGCAAGGUUAACCGAAUAGGGGAGCCGGAGGGAAACCGAGUCUUAAUUGGGCGUUAAGUUGCAGGGUAUAGACCCGAAACCCGGUGAUCUAGCCAUGGGCAGGUUGAAGG